rnacentral:lncRNA from 1 species
UCUAGUGCAACUCUACCUGAGAAGUGGAUAUCUUGCAAUCAGAUUGGGGAGUGGAAUGGCAAAACAAUGUUGCAUAUGUUGGUUGGAUAGUGACAAUGGGAGACUUGACGAGUGUGCACUGAACUUUUGAAAAGUUGACCUUUGUGAGAUUUAUACAAGAAAAUGGACUCAUAACGUUUGGGUUUACUCGUCCAUUGGCACCUUCAUGUGGAAUGGCAAAACAAUGUUGCAUAUGUUGGUUGGAUAGUGACAAUGGGAGACUUGAUGAGUGUGCACUGAACUUUUGAAAUUUUGACCUUUGUGAGAUUUAUACAAGAAAAUGGAAUCAUAACGUUUGGGUUUACACGUCCAUUGGCACCUUCAUGCAGCAGAAAGAAUAUUAUCAAUCCAGCUACUUCUCUAAGAGUUAUCUGGAUGAUGGUUGCCCAAUUGUUAGAAGAUGAUUUAAGAGGAGUAUGCAUUCUGUCACAAGCAAUAGGCCUGUUCUGGGCUGUGCAUGGCUUAAUG